AUGAAUGUGAGGAUCCUUCCCCCCAAUGAUAUACUAUGAUUAUACUAUGCACAAAUGUCAUCGCAUCGGGAUUCCAAGCUAGAAAUCUGAUCCAU
rfam:Hordeum vulgare subsp. vulgare, WGS project CAJW01000000 data, contig: morex_contig_2547253